GGUGGCUCAGUGGUUGAGUGCUUGCCUGGCAUGCAUGAGGCCCUGGGUUCAAUUCCUCAGCACCA
rnacentral:tRNA from 1 species